UACGGAGGGUGCAAGCGUUGCUCGGAAUCACUGGGCGUAAAGGGCGUGUAGGCGGUCUCGUAUGUCUGACGUGAAAGCCCCGGGCUCAACCCGGGAAGUGCGUUGGAAACUGCGAGACUAGAGUCUCGGAGAGGAAGGUGGAAUUCCAGGUGUAGCGGUGAAAUGCGUAGAUAUCAGGAAGAACACCCGUGGCGAAGGCGGUUCUCUGGGACGGUACUGACGACUGGAGACG
rnacentral:rRNA from 1 species